AAUAAUACAAACAAACAAAAAAGUCAUUGAAUUUUAGGAAUUUUAAAACCAUUAGGAAUUCCGCAGAUUACACGGCACCAUUGAGCUAGCUAACCUUAUGUAUCAAUAUUCAAUGUAUCUAUAAAAAUAAUAAUGUUUUAUUGUAGGUUGAUGACUAAUGGUUUACAAUCAAAGUUUAACAUGGCUGGUAGCAAGGGUAAAAAGAAAUUUGAAGGCACAAACAUUUGUGAGGUUGUUGUUGAGAGCGUCAUUUUAAGUAAAGCAACUGCUACAGUCUCUGAAGUCAGAAAAAAUAUCAUGAAUAUAUUGAAAAAUGCACCCGAUAGAUCAAAUGGUGGUGGUCGGGGCAUAAAUGAUAACUCAGAUAUAUAGUUAUAUGUUAACAAAAAAUGUAUAUAUAUAAUGUUAACAUUCUUUUUAUUUCUUAUAUAUACUCCCUUAAAAGAAUUUUUUGUAGUCUUUUAAUUUACAUGAAAUACACUACUCUUCC
rnacentral:lncRNA from 1 species